GGGGAAUAUUGGACAAUGGGGGCAACCCUGAUCCAGCCAUGCCGCGUGAGUGAUGAAGGCCUUAGGGUUGUAAAGCUCUUUCGCUAGGGAAGAUAAUGACGGUACCUAGAGAAGAAGCCCCGGCUAACUUCGUGCCAGCAGCCGCGGUAAUACGAAGGGGGCUAGCGUUGUUCGGAAUUACUGGGCGUAAAGCGCACGUAGGCGGACAUUUAAGUCAGGGGUGAAAUCCCAGGGCUCAACCCUGGAACUGCCUUUGAUACUGGGUGUCUUGAGUACGAGAGAGGUGAGUGGAAUUCCGAGUGUAGAGGUGAAAUUCGUAGAUAUUCGGAAGAACACCAGUGGCGAAGGCGGCUCACUGGCUCGUAACUGACGCUGAGGUGCGAAAGCGUAGGGAGCAAAC
rnacentral:rRNA from 1 species